GAAGAAGCAGGAGGGGACUCGGAGGGAGAGGCGAAGAUCUGCCAGACUGAGACCAGACGCAACCGACAUCGCCAUGAAGACGCUGAUCGUCCUGGCGCUGCUGGGGAUGGCGGCGUUCGUCCUGACCCAACAAGGUCCCGCUCUUCACAAAUCAAGAAAGAUGA